AACGAACGCUGGCGGCAUGCCUAACACAUGCAAGUCGAACGAAACGUUCGUGUCUAUUGGCGCACGUGUGCUUAACGCGUGGGAACCAGCCCUUGGGUUCGGUAUAAUUGCCUGUAGGGUAAGCUAAUACCGGAUAAGGUCUUCGCAGCAAAGAUUUAUCGCCUUUGGAUGGGGGCGCGUUAGUUUAGCCAGUUGGUAGGGUAAAAGCCUACCAAGGCGACGUUGCAUGGCUGGUCUGAGAGGAUGAUUAUCCACACUGGGAAUGAGACACGGCCCACACUCCUACGGGAGGCAGCAGUGGGGAAUAUUGGACAAUGGGCGAAAGCCUGAUCAAGCAAUGCCGCGUGAGUGAUGAAGGCCUUAGGGUUGUAAAGCUCUUUUACCCGGGAUGAUAAUGACAGUACCGGGAGAAUAAGCUCCGGCUAACUCCGUG
rnacentral:rRNA from 1 species